AACGCCGUUUUUUAAAACUUUGGCAAAUGGGAAAGUCUACCAACUAGUUUUGGGAAACAGAAAACUGUAUUGAGAUCAAAUGUUUAAUCAAUGAGAAAAUUAGCAGAAUGUCGGACAAAAACCAUUUAGCUCCAUCUUCUCCCAUUGCCGGCCACUGGGCUUCCUCUAACCCUACACCCAUUAAAACAUCACCACUAUUCCACCACUUUGUCCCUAUCUGAUCCUUCACCAGGCCGGCAGCCUGGGAGGAUGGGACACUAUGGUUCGAAACAUCUAUAUACAUCUAACAUCUAAACAUCUAAGUAUUCUGCAGUAAAAUCUAGUACACCCAAGUGCUUCUCCGCAGAUGCUACAUCUAUUUUCUGGAGAAGCCCCUGAAGGAGUGUGCAGUUCGGGGCUCAAUGUGGGCAAACGCGUUUAACCCGAAACCUUCCCGUCUCCUUCAAGGUCACGACAAGUUGAGGUGCAAUGUCAACAAAAGCGAAUCUUAAUCGAACCUAACCUACAUGGAUAAAAACAUAAACCAUGGAAAGACACGUUAGUAUGUUAUUGGAGGGCGAAAGUCCCAAAAUUAAAAAAUGCAUCAGCAGUCAAGUUCAUCACUGCCCCUUCUACACAUAUAAGGCUGAACAAUAUAUGGUCAACAACCACAUCAAAGGUCAACAACCACAUCAAAGGUCAAGCUUCAGUGAGGCACAGAGAGUUCACGAUCAUAACGUGUGGCUUCAGUUGUUGAAAUGCGACACACUUUCAUUGUUGCUAUUGCUACGGCAACAAUAAUCAACAGAGCACAGUUUCUGAAGCACCUGACAUACCAUCAGCAUCCAGUGGCCCCUCAAGAGCACCCAGAGGCCCUUAAACAGUGGCCAGUGGCCCCUCAAGAGCACCCAGAGGCCCUUAAACAGUGGCCCCUUAAGAGCUCCCAAAGGCCCUUAAACAGUCCCCAGAGGCCCCUUAAGAGCACCCAGAGGGACUGUGUUAUGUGUUAUGUUGUUUAGUAAAGAUGACAUAGAAGUCACCCUCUACCCCUGGACAGAAGAAACACAGAAAAUGAUCACAAGUCCACUUCGAGCUACCUUCAUCGAUUUAACAGUACCCAGGUCUCCUCCUCAUCAUCUAUCUUCGCUCAAAAAAAGGCUACUGAAGUACGUUAUUCCUAUCACUCUAUAUUGGCCUCAGCCACAGAUGAUAUAUUAUAUUGACCAGAUACUCAAGUCUAACAAUGAAAAUAAAUGUCUUCAAAAAUGGAAGGUAGUCCGGAGGUAAGAUCAGGUGAGACCAUUCUAGCCAAUGAGACGGCAGAUACACAUGAUUAAAAAUGUAAUGUGGACGACACACAGUUGUACAUUUCGAUGAAACAUGGUGAAGGCACAAAAUGUCCUACCCUGGAAGCCUGUGUUUCAUGCAUAAGGAAGUGGAUAGCGACGAAUGGUUUACUUUUAAACUCGGACAAAACAGAGAUGCUAGUUCAAGGUCCCAGGAAACAAAGAGAUCUUCUGUUGGAUCUGACAAUUAAUCUUGAUGGUUGUACAGUCGUCUCAAAUAAAACUGUGAAGGAACUUGGCGU